CAGGGCGAAUGUCUUGUAAUUGGAAUGAUGGUGACCCAAACCCUCACCAGAGUAGCAAUUGGAGGGCAAGUCUGGUGCCAGCAGCCGCGGUAAUUCCAGCUCCAAUAGCGCAUAUUAAACUUGUUGCAGUUAAAAAGCUCGUAGUUGUAUUUUUGCGUUGACGGUUUGACCAUUUGGUUGGUUAUUUCGUUUUCGCUUUUGGGAAUUUCCCUUUUUACUUUGAGAAAAUUAGAGUGUUUCAAGCAGACUUUUGUCUUGAAUACUUCAGCAUGGAAUAAUAGAGUAGGACUUUGGUUCUAUUUUGUUGGUUAUUGAACCUUAGUAAUGGUUAAUAGGAACGGUUGGGGGCAUUCGUAUUUAACUGUCAGAGGUGAAAUUCUUAGAUUUGUUAAAGACGAACUACUGCGAAAGCAUUUGCCAAGGACGUUUCCAUUAAUCAAGAACGAAAGUUAGGGUAUCGAUAGAU
rnacentral:rRNA from 1 species